rnacentral:lncRNA from 1 species
CAGAGGGGCAAGGAAGAUCACAUAUCUAGUAAAUGGUAAUGUUGGGGUGUAAGUGCAGGUCUGGGUGCCUCCAAAGCCCAUGCUCUUCCCUGUCCAGGAUGGGAAUUGGAAGAGCAACAGCAGCAAUGUUAGCAGGGGCCCCCAACCAAGCCAAGCAUCACUACCACCAGAGAGUGCUAAAGGAGUGAUAUCAGCCUUCAUGGAUCACAAAUUUCUCCUUGCUUGAAGUCCCCCUACCCCUCCCCACACACAUGUAGCUACAGUAUGCCUUCCAGUAUCUGGCACCAAGUGCAGAGGUUCUGUGUGCAGAUGCUGAAGCCCAACACUCUCCUCUGACUAGCCUUGUAACGUUGGGCAGGUUUCUCAACCUCCCUGUGCCUCAGUUUCCUCAUCUUUAAAAUGGAGAAAAUAACUGUUCCCCCUGUACUGAGUUGUUCUGAGAGUUAAAUAAUUAUACCUACAUGUAGGGCACUCAAAUAGCGCCUGAGGUGUGACAAGAUGUAAAAACAUUAUAUAUUGUCACAGUGGCUUUGUUUCCACGUGGCAUUCUAUUCUGUGUGUCAUUUAUCACCCUUUCAUAGUUAUUGAUAAAGCAAAAGCUCUUUUUACCCUGGAUAUUCUCAUCUUUCUGUCUACUCUUUUAAAAUAAUAUCUGCAAUUUAGUAAUUGAAAGCAAAGCACCAUCAUGAGUGAAUGGACCAUAUACUAGGUGAUUAUUCUUAUGUAUUUAGGGUUUUCUAGGAGGAACAUUCUAUUUGUUUUUAACACACAACUAAAACCUGCUACACCCUUUUUCUGAGUCAGGUUAAUUGAAAACACAAUUUGCUUACAAACUGAACUCACAUUUUUCAAAAGUAUAUAAUUUGAUCAUGUGAUCAUCUCAGUCACCAAGAUAUGGACCAUUGACAUCACCCCAAAUUGUUCCUUGGUGCUCAUUACGAUCACCUUUUGAGACUCAUCUCUGCUUACCAUCUUCUGCAUAGUUUUUUUUUUUUUUAAGAUUUUAUUCAUUUAUUCAUGAGAGACACACAGAGACAGAGACACAGGCAAAGGGAGAAGUAGGCUCCCUGCAGGGAGCCUGAUGUGGGACUCAAUCCCAGGACUCUGGGACCAUGACCUGAGCCAAAGGUAGGUGCUCAACCACUGAGCCACUCAGGUACCCCCAUCUUCUGCAGUCUUCAGGCUGUGGCAAAGCAAAAUAACUCAGAAUUACCCCUCAUGCACCAUGCUAUCUUUGAUCACCAGGCCUUUGUUCUUACUCUUCCCUCACCAAGUCCAGCUUCACCCGCUUUCUGACCUAGGUGACUCCCACUUCUCUUUCAAGCUUCUGUUGUCACCCCCUCUGCUCUCCGCAGUCUAGGUCAAUGCCCUUGCCAGAGGGGCCCCCAUCACCUUGGGCCUCUCUCUCCAACUCUUUUACAUGUGACAGCCCCUCACUGGACCGUCACUCAGGGAGAUGGCAGGGACCUGUUUCCCAGGCUCUAGCCUGAUGGUGGGCACUGAGCAGACAGGCCCUGGAGGUGCACUGUACCACGAGGUCUCUGCUGCCAUGAGAGUCUGUGU